rnacentral:RNase_P_RNA from 1 species
GGACUGGGGUGAACAGUCGCGCUAUGUACCAAAAGUACAGGUGAGGAAAGUCCGGGCUUCAUAGAGCAAGGAUAACGGAUAACGUCCGCCGGAGGUGACUCCCGGGAUAGUGCAACAGAGAUAUACCGCCGCUUUUGCGGUAAGGGUGGAAAGGCGAGGUAAGAGCUCACCGGCAUGGUGGUGACAUCAUGGCCCUGUAAACCCUAUCCGAAGCAACACCGAAUGUAGAGAGCUUUGCUACGCCUGCUCGGCGGAAUCUAUAAGGUGGCAAAGAGCUUUGUGGCAACACAAAGCCAAGAUAGAUGACUGUUCCCGACAGAACCCGGCUUACAGCCCCAGUCCCUUA